AGAGAUGGAGCUCAGAGGUUGAGCAUCUGCACCUCAUGCAGAACUCCCUAGGUUCAAUCCCCUGCAUCUUCA